AUUUCGCCUUUACCUUUGUAUAUUUAAUUAAAUGACCUGAAGCCGCAAAAUUUCUGUCAUUUUUGGUCUGCUCUCAUUUAUUUAUACAAAUGCAAUGAUAAAGCUAUCCGGCAAAACUCAUCAUAAAAGCAUUAGCGCCAAACAUUUUUUUGUUUCACUGGAAGUUGGCACAAUGCAUAUUCGGGACGUGGCUAGGGGCGUGGCAGUGUGCAGUGGACGGGGCCAAAGCACUCAUGUGAAAGCCCAAAGGGCAACACUGCAACAAACAGCGGCAAAUGAUGAGCGCCAAAUAUAAAAAAGUGAACUAAAGCUGUUAUAUGCAAAGCUAGGCAUCCAAAUGUAAAGGCCUUCGCCAUUUUGUGCAUACAAAAGCAACAAAAACACAGCGCAAUAAAAUUUUCUAACCAAAAUAAAGGCAACACUUUAAAAUAUAUGAAGAACACACACACUUGCACACACGUGCGACACA